rnacentral:rRNA from 1 species
GACGAACGCUGGCGGCGUGCUUAACACAUGCAAGUCGAACGGAAAGGCCCUGCUUUUGUGGGGUGCUCGAGUGGCGAACGUGUGAGUAACACGUGAGUAACCUGCCCUUGACUUUGGGAUAACUUCAGGAAACUGGGGCUAAUACCGGAUAGGAGCUCCUGCUGCAUGGUGGGGGUUGGAAAGUUUCGGCGGUUGGGGAUGGACUCGCGGCUUAUCAGCUUGUUGGUGGGGUAGUGGCUUACCAAGGCUUUGACGGGUAGCCGGCCUGAGAGGGUGACCGGCCACAUUGGGACUGAGAUACGGCCCAGACUCCUACGGGAGGCAGCAGUGGGGAAUAGUGCACAAUGGGCGGAAGCCUGAUGCAGCAACGCCGCGUGCGGGAUGACGGCCUUCGGGUUGUAAACCGCUUUCGCCUGUGACGAAGCGUGAGUGACGGUAAUGGGUAAAGAAGCACCGGCUAACUACGU